rnacentral:tRNA from 1 species
CCGGGAUAGCUCAGCUGGUAGAGCAGAGGACUGAAA